rnacentral:rRNA from 1 species
UACGUAGGGUGCGAGCGUUGUCCGGAAUUAUUGGGCGUAAAGAGCUCGUAGGCGGUUUGUCACGUCUGCUGUGAAAACUGGAGGCUCAACCUCCAGCCUGCAGUGGGUACGGGCAGACUAGAGUGCGGUAGGGGAGAUUGGAAUUCCUGGUGUAGCGGUGGAAUGCGCAGAUAUCAGGAGGAACACCGGUGGCGAAGGCGGAUCUCUGGGCCUUGCCUGACGCUGAGGCGCGAAAGCUAGGGGAGCGAACAGG